CGGAGCUUUUACAUUACCGAAACAUUUCAGAAGAUCACUACAGCAGAACAGUAAGGAAGUGAGAGUGGAAUUGGUUGUUGUCUAAUACCCUGUGUACGAGGCCUUGUUUCCAGAACUCUGGAGAAAAUGAUGACUCAGCAGAUGGUGAGAUAUGGGCAGAUUCCAAGUUCUGACCCGUGGGAUGUGGAAUGUGGAUCUACUGAACAAGGGGGUGAAUCCGGAUCUUUCAUCAUUGGGGAAUUUAUGUUUGAUGAGACUAUUUUUGAGAUGAAGGGGAAUUAGAUUGUACUUUGUUUCAAGGAUUAGACUGUUUUUUGAAUGAAGAUUGUAACGAAAAUCCUGAUAAGAAGAGUUAUAAUUCUGAUGUAGGUUUAAAAACAGUUGGUGUUAAGGUUAGAUUUGAUUAAUGAUGGGUGAAGAGUCUGAUAAACAUUUAUAAUAAUGUUGGUUAUGUGUCUAUUCAUAUGAUAAUCUGAUAAACAUUUAUAAUAAUGUUGGUUAUAAGUCUAUUCAUAUGAUAAUCUGAUAAACCUUUAUAAUAAGGUUAAUUAUAAGUCUAUUCGUAUGAUAAAUCUGAUAAACCUUUAUAAUAAGGUUAGUUAUAAGUUUAUUCAUAUUUUUAUUUUUAAUGUUUGAUAAAACUAGAUGUAGAUUUGAAUGUAUAAUAUUUAAUCAAAGGGAGGAUUUGUUGGAGGAAAUUAUAGUUGAAAUGAUUAAUUAUGUAUACAUUUAAAUUAGAACCAUUAAUUUUUAAUACUAUUAUGUUGUGGUAUGAAAUGUAUGGGUUUUUGGUUAAACUAGGACUGAAAAUGUAGGUAAAACGAAUGAAUUGUCUGUACCUUGCGGGUUUAAGGGAGAAGGAGGGUAUAUCUCUUUAGACAGAUAAGAAUGUUCUUUGAUGUUCCAUUAGUGGAGAAGAGUAUAUCUUUUAGACAGAUUGGAAUGUUUGCUUUAUGAGGGGAGUAGGAGACAAUCUCCAGACCUGAAAACACUGCGCUAUUGUGUGGAUCGGAGAAAGUGUGAGAACUGAUGACGUCAUUUUUAUCUUCUCUUUAAAAUGUAAUGUUCUUUGUAUUUU
ensembl:lncRNA